rnacentral:rRNA from 1 species
CGCGUAGGCGGCCUGGGCAGUCCUGGGUGAAAGCCCCGGCUCAACCGGGGAAGGGCCUGGGAAACCACUGGGCUGGAGUGCUGGAGAGGGAGGCGGAAUUCCUGGUGUAGCGGUGAAAUGCGUAGAGAUCAGGAGGAACAUCGGCGGCGAAGGCGGCCUUCUGGACAGACACUGACGCUGAGGCGCGAAAGCCGGGGAGCAAACA